rnacentral:tRNA from 1 species
GAAUGUGUAGCUCAGCUGGAUAGAGCAACCCCCUCCUAAGGGGUAGGUCGGCGGUUCAAAUCCGCCCACGUUCGCCA